rnacentral:lncRNA from 1 species
GGGAGUGGGGGGUGGGGGUGGGGGGUGGAGGGGGAGUCUGGAGGCUCUGGGGGGCUCAGUGUGCACAGGCUGACCCCGGCCAUCCACCCUCAGGGGUACUAAGCAGUAAAGCUGACACUGCUCUUUGAAUCCCUAGUUGACUCCCGCAUUUUACAGAUGAGGAAACUGAGGCCCAGACAGCAGGAGUGUCCUGGGCCGGCGGCGGCGGCUGCCCCGAGGGACGCGGCCCUAGGCGGUGGCCAUGGGGGCCGCCAGGAUCGCGCCCGGCCUGGCGCUCCUGCUCUGCUGCCCGGUCCUCAGCUCCGCAUACGCGCUGGUAAGUGCCCCGCCAGCACGCCGGGACGGCCACCGGCCCCGCGGUCCCUGCAGGGGCGCCGCGGGCUUG